rnacentral:rRNA from 1 species
GCCGACAGCUAGCUCUCUGCAACUCUCACAUGGUCGCCCACUGAAGCUAAGCAGGGCUGCGCCAGGUCAGUACCGGGAUGGGAGACCACAUGGGAAAGCUAGGUUGCUGCCGGAA